CUCCUGCCAGCACCCUCUUGGAUUUUUACCCCUUUAACAGCGACAACUUGCUUUUCUCCAGCCGGCGGUGGACACGGAGAGAGUUACAUCAACUUUGUGUCUUGGCUGUUGGUGCAGCUGAUAUCUCAUCAUGUGCUGUGCUCCGAAGUGCUCCAAUUGCACAGGACAAGCAGUGGCCAGCAGCUGUUUGACACAUGCAUGGAGCCUCCACCAGCACCGCUGGUCCGCACCGGGGAGAAGUUUCGCAUUUGCAACAAUCGUAUUUGUAGCACUUCUUUCUCGGGGAAAGUGCUCGG